GGUGGGUGUUACCCAGCUAAAAGAGAGCAAGCAGAGAAAAAAGCCAGACCAGUCCAAGACAUCUGCACCGGUCAAAGCCCCAAUAAAGGCCCCUAAAACACAAGCGAAGACUAUCAAGACAGUGUCAGUGACGGCCCUGGAAACAAGGCGUUGCCGGGAAACAGAAAACAUCUGCCGACGGCCAACAGAGGACCGAUACGCCGGCCAACACAAGAGCUGAGAAAAGGAAAAAGAUCGGAAUGUAUUCUUCCCAGGACGAGUCUGUCCAAGGGCAGAAGACAGCCCCGGCCAGUUCAGCUGUAAUCCCACCAGCCAGCAAGAAGACGAGAUUGACGGAGGAGAAAAGCUCGUCCACUCCAAAGAGCGAGAAGACCACAGAAGAGAGAAAGAAACAGGACGAGAGAAGAGGGAGGAAGAGGAAAAAGGAUGAUGAGGGAGAGAAGAUGAAGGAAGUUGGUGUUGAAGAGGGAAAGAUUGAAGUCAGUAAGAUGAGGAAGAUGGAAAGUUUAGAAA